AUUGAACGCUGGCGGCAUGCCUUACACAUGCAAGUCGAACGGCAGCACGGGUGCUUGCACCUGGUGGCGAGUGGCGAACGGGUGAGUAAUACAUCGGAACAUGUCCUGUAGUGGGGGAUAGCCCGGCGAAAGCCGGCUUAAUACCGCAUACGAUCUACGGAUGAAAGCGGGGGACCUUCGGGCCUCGCGCUAUAGGGUUGGCCGAUGGCUGAUUAGCUAGUUGGUGGGGUAAAGGCCUACCAAGGCGACGAUCAGUAGAUGGUCUGAGAGGACGACCAGCCACACUGGGACUGAGACACGGCCCAGACUCCUACGGGAGGCAGCGGUGGGGAAUUUUGGACAAUGGGCGAAAGCCUGAUCCAGCAAUGCCGCGUGUGUGAAGAAGGCCUUCGGGUUGUAAAGCACUUUUGUCCGGAAAGAAAUCCUUGGCUCUAAUACAGUCGGGGGAUGACGGUACCGGAAGAAUAAGCACCGGCUAACUACGUG
rnacentral:rRNA from 1 species